rnacentral:rRNA from 1 species
CAGUCGCCGCGGUAAUACGUAGGUGGCAAGCGUUGUCCGGAAUUAUUGGGCGUAAAGGGCUCGCAGGCGGUUUCUUAAGUCUGAUGUGAAAGCCCCCGGCUCAACCGGGGAGGGUCAUUGGAAACUGGGAAACUUGAGUGCAGAAGAGGAGAGUGGAAUUCCACGUGUAGCGGUGAAAUGCGUAGAGAUGUGGAGGAACACCAGUGGCGAAGGCGACUCCCUGGUCUGUAACUGACGCUGAGGAGCGAAAGCGUGGGGAGCGAACAGGAUUAGAUACCCCAGUAGUCCCUGUCUCUUAUAA